CAGCGGGUGGCCGAGGGCGAUCGCCCCGCCACUGGGGUUGACCAGCUCGUCGGCCCGCUCCGGUUCGAACCCGAUCCCGUCGGC
rnacentral:tRNA from 1 species